rnacentral:rRNA from 1 species
CUUUAACGCUGGCGGUAGGCCUAACACAUGCAAGUCGAACGGCAGCACAGUAAGAGCUUGCUCUUACGGGUGGCGAGUGGCGGACGGGUGAGGAAUACAUCGGAAUCUACUUUUUCGUGGGGGAUAACGUAGGGAAACUUACGCUAAUACCGCAUACGACCUACGGGUGAAAGCAGGGGAUCUUCGGACCUUGCGCGAUUGAAUGAGCCGAUGUCGGAUUAGCUAGUUGGCGGGGUAAAGGCCCACCAAGGCGACGAUCCGUAGCUGGUCUGAGAGAAUGAUCAGCCACACUGGAACUGAGACACGGUCCAGACUCCUACGGGAGGCAGCAGUGGGGAAUAUUGGACAAUGGGCGCAAGCCUGAUCCAGCCAUACCGCGUGGGUGAAGAAGGCCUUCGGGUUGUAAAGCCCUUUUGUUGGGAAAGAAAAGCAGCAGGUUAAUACCCCGCUGUUCUGACGGUACCCAAAGAAUAAGCACCGGCUAACUUCGUG